rnacentral:lncRNA from 1 species
UCCCUCCCUAGUAUUUUUUUUGUCUUAAAUGAAGGACAAUGAUAGCUAUCUUGCAGUCAGAAUUUUGCUUUUUUAAGAGGUCACUUUCCCUUGCCUAAAAAGGCAUCCCAAUUAAAAGUGGCACUGAUUAUUUCCAUUGUCUUAAGCUACUGACUGAGACAAACGUGAUUAGGGAAAAAAAAUUAGAUCUGGCAGGACUCCGAUUUGGUGAAACUUCCUGUGAAUGUUGUACAUACUGCUUCUGUUCUUAUAGAUUCUUCUAUAGACGCAGUAUCUGAUAGAUUCUAGCAGGAUGCUGGAAGAAAGUGGGGAACCAGAUUUUUUUUUUUUUUGCUAUUACUUUUGGAAAGUGUGAUCUGUCACACAUAGUAUUUGGUUUCUUAAGCUGUUUUGUAGACCCUAUAAUGAAAUCUACAUUUUGUAUGUAUGUUUUACAUGAUAGAAAGUGAGGCUGGAAUAAAUAUGUCAGAAAAUAUACACCCACUGGGACCUGAGAAAAUCUGGAGUAAGCAAAGCCAUUCUCAGAGUGCUCAAGUGUGAGCCUAGGACUGCUUCCAUGUAUUUUUGGUUCAUCAGUACUAGAAAUUAGAUGCUUCCAAGGCUUUACACUGGAGACAGAAUAUACUAAAAUCAAAUCCCAGUUGAUUGUCCCAGAGACCAAGGGCUGUCCGAAUAGCACUUUCUUUACUUAAAUAACUCAGUAGGGAAAAUGGGAAAGUUAAUAAAGCUGACUGUGAAUGGACCAACCAGUUGAAUGACAGGUUGGUUCAGUCAAAGCAACAAAUCUCAAACAGCCCUAGCUAGACCAUGGGUGUGGGCACUGCUCACAACCACAGGCAUUUGUUUUUCUGGCCAUUCCCAGAAUCCAUCCAGUUCACAGUUCUGCCACCAGCAAAAGCUCUUUAUGUAGUUUCAGCAGGGUAUGGCCCUCCUUCUGAUGACAGCACGAAAUAAUGAGAGACAGCCCACUAAUUUUGUAGACUUAGAUUUCUUCCCUGUGCAGUGGUAGCUUUCUAAAUGCAGUGGUUCUGACCUUACAUGGCAGUCCUCACACUGUCCUGACAUUUUCUCUUCCACCAAUUCUAUACACAGAACAUGUAUUAUUAUUUGGAUUCAGACAUCCUGUGGGUCGGCUUUGUCUUCACGAUUCUUCAAUAGAGACAGCACACUCUAGCAGAUGUCAGCACCCACAUAACAAAGGACUCCCACUGCCACUCAGUCUGGCAAAGCAUACAAUAUACAAUGAGCCAUUUAUACACUGUUUCCUGCACCUAAAAUGGCUGUGUUUUAGGAAGCAGCUCACUGGCUUUUCAGUAGAUAUUAUGGGGCAGAGUUGCUUUGUAACCAAGAAAAAUUCCCUUCAAUGACUUAUAAAAUGUGAUGGCAUUUUACAAAAAGAAUAUUCUACAUGACGUGAGCUGAAAAAUUCUUGGCUAAGAGUAGUUAAUGUACACAGUGGUUAAGACCUGUGGUGUUAGAGCUGGACAGAUGUGCGUUUAAAUUCUGGAUACUCUACCUGUGGUCCUCUGUCAGGUCUUGUUAGUCCUUUGGAGACUUAGAAAAGCUGAGGAAGAACCACCUAGUUCACCCUAUCCCCCAGGUAAUAGAACCUGACUUUAUUCACAUCUGGGUAAAAGAAGUCAAGCUUGGUAUGGGAGAAGAAGCGGAAUAUAGGCACGUAUUGUAAAUAGACAUCUGACUAUUAGGCCCAGACUCUGACGCUCAGAGUGGGCAAAACCAGGAGCUGUCACGGAAUGGGCUCUGCGUUGGGGCCCAGUUUCAAGAAGGCCUCAGAACAACUUUGGAAGAUGAAUUGAUCCUGUUGCAUGAGCCUGGAAGCCUUGUUAAGUCACUUGACCUCCAGUCAGGUCAGCGUAUGGUUAGCUACCCGGACACAUCUUUCUACCAGACACUCUGGCCUUCAGAUUCCAGAGGAGCCAGUGGGCAGGGGUGUCUGUUUUUCACUGACAUUUGCAGGGUGGGUACACCUCUAGAGAGAAGGUCACAUCUCUUGCCAGGAAAUGCAGAGUCUGAGCAAUCGAGGGAAAGGCAGAGGUUAGCUCAACUUCAUCUGCCAUGUGGACCCCCAUGCUGAGCUGAAGAGUGUUCUGGUUAGAAGCAGAUUGUGGGUGGCCAAUGCCUUGCCUAUGGAACUAUAUCAUGGUUAAUUCUGGAUCAUCAGGAAAUCUAAUGAAUUUGACCUGAUUCAAUAAUGUCUUUCACUCAGUAAUCUGAUCACUUCUGUUCCAGGAGUAGCCUUCCUCAGUCUGCCCUAAUCUAAUGGUACGAAAACAGGCAUGUUUAAUUUUAGCCUAUUGCAAAAGAAGACCCAGGGCAGUAGACUGCAUCUACCUUAUGCUUGUUUUUGGAAGGAAAUUUACACUGGCCACGGUCAAUACUCAGCGUGUGACAAUGGUCACUGUCAAGGCCUGUAGGCCCACGCUGGAGAGAGCCUGGCACCUCACAAUGCAAUCCAAUCACUCCAGCUUGUCACAUAUUCAGAAGUUCAGAAAGCUCAGCAGUGACAGGUUUAUUUUUCAGAAACGCUGAGCUACAAAUUACUAAUAUAUCAGGCAGCCAGAAUCACUGGGCUGACUGCAGGUCUGAUUACCAUGGGUAACUGACACUAAGCCAUUCUGGGAGAUCCUCUCCCUUAAAUAGUUACAUUUCAGUGCUGCUGAAAUUCCGUGACCAAUCAGAUGCAGACAAUAGGUAGGGGCUUCUGAUUAGCACUCUGAUUUCCAGCUGUGCUCGAAGUGACUCAGGAGAUCAGUGGAAAAGUAGUUCAGUCACCCCAAAAUGAUAGGUUCCUACUCCUUGUUCCAUUCUCUAUCCCUGGAAAGCCACCAUGGCCCUUCCAAGGCAUUGAAUGUGGCACACUGAGAAUUACAGCAGCCCAGUGCUUUUCAAAGCACAACUGCCUGGGUCAAACAAAGAAACAAAAAAUAAGACUCUAAGGUCACUGCAUUGCUCCCCAAGUGCCCUUGAGACUGAAUCACCCUGGACUUCAUAUCAGAUUUCUCCCUGUUCUGGGGCCACCAAACAAUUCUGAUGGUGGUGGCUAUCCUUAUCAAAACAGUAAAUGUCAUUCCCCAACUGCUUAAACUAUGCUUUAUUUAUCAGUGAGGUGGUAGCCUACCUCAGGAUCACUUUUAUAGUAAUUUCCAUGGUCUUACUAUUUAAAGGAAUGUUUCCAGAAGUAUCUACAUCUGAAUUCACCUGUCUACUGCUAUUACCUAGCCAGGGAUAGUAAGAAAGACACUUUUGGUUGGAAUUUCUCUGGUGUCACAAAAUACAUAGGCAUUAUGACUUGUUCUGCCUACCUUGUAACUGCAAAAUUCACACAGUAUUUUUCCACACGGAAUACCCUCUUCUAUAAUGACUACUGCCACCCUCUUUAUUUCACUGCUAAGAUUGAUACCUCAAAGAGGUAUAAGCCACCCCCAAAAAGCUUAGAGGUGACAUUGAUCAAUGUGUCAAAGACUACUAUAGGCCCACUGUACCAAAUAAUAUGGCUAAGUCCUGACACCGGACAGGGGUGGUGGUGUGGGGGGUGUCUUUUAGGUGGGAGAGUUUAUGGUUCUCAGUCCUACAUAUCUGAGCCAAAUUAAAAUUUAAACACUUUCUUGGAUCCAUUCAAGUUUUCAAGAUCACAAACCCCAUUGUGUUCUUCCUAUAUUUAUCUGUUAAGACAUAGCUUUAAAACAUUUUUUUUUUCUUUUGAGUCAGAGUCUCACUCUGUCACCCAGGCUGGAGUGCAGUGGCA